GGAGUGGUCGGGCCGCUCCGGCCGGGAUGUGCCUGGACUUGAAGGCGCUCAGGAGCCCCAAGCUCGGAGAACCUCCAGAAGGCUUCUCCCUCAUUGGCCAGGAGUCCGAGGGAGCCGAGGAAGGAUCCGCGGCCCCGGGAGGGCUUUCUGUCUUGAGCUCGUAUUACUGCUGUUCAUUGAUGGAUUGUAAAAGCGUAAAACCGGACGUGACCCAAAUGCCUAUCAAAGGAGACUGAUUAGAGAAAUAAACAGAUUUGUUCACACAACGGCUUAUACAGCAAAGAAACAGAAGGUAGAGCUCCAAGUGCUCUGAAAUGGAAAGAUGGAGUCUCGCUCUGUCGCCCAGACUGGAGUGCAGUGGCGCGAUCUUGGCUCACUGCAACCUCUGCCUCCCGGGUUCAAGCGAUUCUUCUGCUUCAGCCUCCCGAGUAGCUGGGACUACAGGCGCCCGCCACCAUGCUCAGCUAAUUUUUGGAUUUUUAGUAGAGAUGGGGUUUUACCAUAUUGGCCAGGCUGGUCUCAAACUCCUGACCUUGUGACCCACCUACCUCGGCCUCUCAAAGUGCUGGGAUUACAGGCGUGAGCCAUCACGCCCAGCCUAUGGUACACCUUUACUGAGGAAACAAUUCAGGAACAUCACUCUUAGUAAGGCAAUUGUUGAUUAUAAGUCAAAAAAACACUAUCGUGCACAAAUUUAGGGGAUUUUGUAUACCUUGUUUUUUUGGUUACAAAUAUGCAAAAUGAAAGAUGUUUGCUAAUACUUGUUUCCAAUUUUUAAACUUUUCAAGUGUACUGUUAACGUUAAAAUAAAAGGCAUUUGACUUAG